AGUGUUCAGGAAUUGAACCCACAGUGUUCCGCUUACCAGGCAGAUGCCAUGUCCACUAGGCUAC